ACAACCCUUUCCAGUCUGAGCUGACCAGCCUGAUGGUAAUGGUAAUCAAUCAUAACAUUAUCAGGUUUGACAUCUAAAAAGAGUAACUUGGUUAGUAUCUGGAUCUUGAUGAGCAGGCUGAUGCAUUACCAAGAUGUAUUCAGUUCUUGGCAUGAAACUCCUUUAACACCUGCCCAAGUUCUCACAAUAUCUGAUUCCAAGACGCAAUUGACAUGUUCAGAUUGUUGUUCACAAGAGAAAGCAAAUUAUCACUAAAGUGAUUGUAGAUAAGGAUUUGUUCAGCUUCAUUAUCAUCAUCAUACAUUCAAAGACAACAUGUUUCUGGGAACUCUUGUUUAAGUUCCAGUGAUUGUUCGAAGAUUGAAGGGGAUACAUGUUUUAGCACAAAGUAUUGAUUUCCACACCUAAAUCUUUCAGUCAAUAACCAGAUGGACUCAUGCAAUUUGAGAUGUAUGACUCACUGUGCA
rnacentral:sRNA from 1 species